AACGCACAUUGCGCCCCUUGGUAUUCCAUGGGGCAUGCCUGUUCGAGCGUCAUUUACACCCUCAAGCUCUGCUUGGUGUUGGGCGUCUUGUCCCGCCAAAAGGCGCGGACUCGCCCCAAAGGCAUUGGCAGCGGUUCCUGCCGGGAUUUCCCCAACAGCGCAGCACUGUUCGCGCACCCGGGGACCCGCGCGGAUCCAGCGUCCACGAAGCCCGAUUGCAUCGCAACCUUGACCUCGGAUCAGGUAGGGAUACCCGCUGAACUUAA
rnacentral:misc_RNA from 1 species